AGUGCCCUGAGGAUUCCAAUCCAAUAGGUCCAGAAUGGCCCAGGAGAUUCUAAUGAAGGGUUUAGGGUGUCAGCUGCUCUAAUGGGGCUAAGAGGCAAAACUUGGCCUCUUCUGGGCUUUCCCAAAUUCACUCUGCCAGUUAAUCUGAAAUGUCAGGGAGGGGAAGGCUGUUUGAAGCUUUGAAAGCUCACAUUGUCUCCCUCAUCCCAUUUCAGCAAGAGAGCCUUCCUAGAAGAGAUGGAGUAAUUUCCAGAACUGGAACAAAGGGAGAGACCUGGGCUCACAGACAGACAGGAAGAUGAGCUCAGAGGACAUCCUGCUUCACCCAGUCUUUUGCAGGGGAGUCCCAACCAAGGAGAGGUGCCUGACUAGGGAAUCCCACAUACCCACCAACUUCCAAAGAGCUGAAACUGGUAAGAACUACUAAAAGCCUAUAACACAACUCUAGCAGGUUAAAUAGUAUCCCCCCAAAACUCAUGCCCACCAUGAACCUCAGAAUAUCACCUUAUUUGGAAAUGAGGUCUUUGCGAUGUAAGUGAUUAAAACUCAAGAUGAGAUCAUACUGGAUCUGGAUGGGUCCCAAAUCCAAUAGCUGGUGUCCUUAGAAGAAGGAGAGAGGACACACAGAGGCAAGAAGGCUAAGUGCAGACAGAUGCAGAGAUUGGAGGGAUGCUACCAUGAGCCAAGGACACCAGGGGUCACCAGGAGUCAGAAGAACAAGGAAGGAUGUGCCAUAGAAACUCCAGAGGGAGCAUGACCCUGCUGACAACUUUUCUCUUUUUAAUCAGCAUGCUGAUUAACUGAAAGUCUAUCUUGUUUUAUUUAGAUCUUUAAGUAUUUCACAAUUGACUUUAGCUGUGUCAGCAGGAGUCCAGAAGUAUAACUGAUUAACUAUCCAAAAUUGAUGGGUACGAGUCUAGUUUUAACAACAUAUUAUACUCAAAUACACACACCUACAAGGCAUGGCAAAUCUGACUGAUAAGGAACCAGCUCAGAUGUUUGGCUGCCAACUUGACUUGGGACUUCUGGCCUCUCAAACUGUGAGAGAAUAAAUUCCUGUUGUUUUAAGCCA
ensembl:lncRNA